GUGCCAGCCGCCGCGGUAAUACGGAAGGUCCGGGCGUUAUCCGGAUUUAUUGGGUUUAAAGGGAGCGCAGGCGGGUUGUUAAGCGUGACGUGAAAUGUAGCCGCUCAACGGCUGAACUGCGUCGCGAACUGGCAGUCUUGAGUGAGUACGACGUCAGCGGAAUUCGUGGUGUAGCGGUGAAAUGCUUAGAUAUCACGAAGAACCCCGAUUGCGAAGGCAGCUGACGAGUCCUUUACUGACGCUAAAGCUCGAAGGUGCGGGUAUCGAACAGGAUUAGAUACCCUGGUAGUCCGCACGGUAAACGAUGGAUGCCCGCUGUUGGCGAUACAAUGUCAGCGGCCAAGCGAAAGCGUUAAGCAUCCCACCUGGGGAGUACGCCGGCAACGGUGAAACUCAAAGGAAUUGACGGGGGCCCGCACAAGCGGAGGAACAUGUGGUUUAAUUCGAUGAUACGCGAGGAACCUUACCCGGGCUUGAACUGCAGCGGAAGGAUACAGAGAUGUUGACGCCCUUCGGGGCCGCUGUGGAGGUGCUGCAUGGUUGUCGUCAGCUCGUGCCGUGAGGUGUCGGCUUAAGUGCCAUAACGAGCGCAACCCUUUUCUCUAGUUGCCAUCAGGUGAUGCUGGGCACUCUGGAGACACUGCCACCGUAAGGUGUGAGGAAGGUGGGGAUGACGUCAAAUCAGCACGGCCCUUACGUCCGGGGCUACACACGUGUUACAAUGGGUGGUACAGAGAGUCAGGCGUUGGCAACACCGCCUUAAUCCUUAAAGCCAUCCUCAGUUCGGAUUGGGGUCUGCAACCCGACCCCAUGAAGCUGGAUUCGCUAGUAAUCGCGCAUCAGCCAUGGCGCGGUGAAUACGUUCCCGGGCCUUGUACACACCGCCCGU
rnacentral:rRNA from 1 species